rnacentral:rRNA from 1 species
ACCGUGGUAAUUCUAGAGCUAAUACAUGCUAAAAACCUCGACUCACGAAGAGGUGUAUUUAUUAGAUAAAAAACCAAUGCCCUCCGGGGCUCAGUGGUGAUUCAUGAUAACUUAACGAAUCGCAUGGCCUUGCGCCGGCGAUGGUUCAUUCAAAUUUCUGCCCUAUCAACUUUCGAUGGUAGGAUAGUGGCCUACCAUGGUUUCAACGGGUAACGGGGAAUUAGGGUUCGAUUCCGGAGAGGGAGCCUGAGAAACGGCUACCACAUCCAAGGAAGGCAGCAGGCGCGCAAAUUACCCAAUUCUGAUACAGAGAGGUAGUGACGAUAAAUACCGAUACAGGGCUCUUUCGGGUCUUGUAAUUGGAAUGAGUACAAUCUAAACCCCUUAACGAGGAACAAUUGGAGGGCAAGUCUGGUGCCAGCAGCCGCGGUAAUUCCAGCUCCAAUAGCGUAUAUUAAAGUUGUUGCAGUUAAAAAGCUCGUAGUUGAACCUUGGGCCUGGCCGAUCUGUCUUCCUAACCGUUGUACGGAUUCGGUCGGGCCUUUCCUUCUGGGGAGCCCCAUGUCCUUCACUGGGCGUGGUGGGGAACCAGGACUUUUACCUUGAAAAAAUUAGAGUGUUCAAAGCAGGCCUUUGCUCGAAUACAUUAGCAUGGAAUAAUGGAAUAGGACAGCAGUUCUAUUUUGUUGGUUUCUAGGACCGCUGUAAUGAUUAAUAGGGAUAGUCGGGGGCGUCAGUAUUCAAUUGUCAGAGGUGAAAUUCUUGGAUUUAUUGAAGACUAACUAUUGCGAAAGCAUUCGCCAAGGAUGUUUUCAUUAAUCAGUGAACGAAAGUUAGGGGAUCGAAGACGAUCAGAUACCGUCGUAGUCUUAACCAUAAACUAUGCCGACUAGGGAUUGGACGGUGUUUCUUUUAUGACCCGUUCAGCACCUUACGAGAAAUCAAAGUUUGGCCUU